UUUUUCACAUCAACUCAAUAUGACUAGUUCGAAAUAAAUCAAUUCAUCCGGCAGUAUUGAAAUAAAUCUGCUGAUUCGAUCCCGCCUUCGCGGGCCGAAACGUGCAAGCGAGCCGGGUUUACCUGCAGGGGCUGCGAUUUCGCAGCCCCCGAAAGAGCCUUCCGCGUCGGAGGGAGGCUUGGUGGAGGAUUCGCGGGGACGUCGUAAACCUCGUGUCCGCGUCACGAUGCGCGGGCACGAGUUCCGCGAUUUUGCGCGCGCAGCCUCUCUCUCUCUCUCUCUCGCAGGCGAGAGAAGGGGUUGGCGGAUCGGCAUCGUGCUCUCGGGGAGGGGUUGCAUCGCCAGCGUCCACCGUCACCGGGAGAAGGUGAGAAUCGCACAGCGGGUAUCGAGCGGUGUGUGCGUGCACAAGUGUUGCCUAUACAGGGAGCACGACCACUCGCCGUCUCUCGCUCCGUUUCUCUCUCUUUCUCUCCAUCCUCUCUCUCUCUCUCUCUCUCUCUCGCAUCCCCAUAUCACUGUCCCAUCGCGUCCUCUCUCUCCCUCUAUUUUUCCCGUAAAAAAUCCCGAUUUUUACCACUCAUGUUUCGUCGGCGAGACCCGCGAGUGCUCCUUUAUGAGAGCGCGUUAUCGCCGCGCCGCGAAGUUCCGUGAUCACUUAUGCUCGAACCGCGAGCGUCGUCUGAUAAUGCACCUUCGCGUUAUUGUCGCGCGAGUUACGUGACCCGCGACACGGGAGUCUACGCGACGAGCAGCGGCGGCACCAGCGGCAGCAGCGUGAUAGAGGACGGUGGACGGUGGUCCUCGUGACACUCUCAGUUGGGGUGAACUCACGGGGGGUGAUGGAUCGCAAGGCGAAACUGUAGCCCCCGGUUGCGAUCGGAGAAGGGCUGUCAAUCUCGUCUCUUCGUAUAUAAUAGAAUAAUAAUCAGAAAUUAUCUCCGGGAUUUUUAUUAUAGAGAUACAUAUUAUACCGCAUAUCCCAGCUGUCAUAUCGAUCACACUUCUUCUCGCGUGGCGCUUUUUUCGUUUUUCUUUUUUUUUUUCUUCGAGAAAGAAAAAAAAACCGACUGUGCGUUACCCUUGAAACUCUGUGCCGACGAGAGAAAGAGAGAGAGGGAGCAGCUGGUGAAAGUUCGUCUGCUCUUGGAGGAUAAGUGGUGCCUAAGCGUGGAGAUAAAAAAUAAGAAACCAGUGCCUAUAAAAUCGCGAACACGAUGACUCGAUGAUCCCUCGUACACACGUUACGCAUUUUCGGACGACGAGCGCGAUGCAUCACGUCAAAGUAUCGCAUCAGAAGCAAAAGGAAAGCGCGCUGAGUGCGCGAAGAGACGGAGGGGACUAAUAAUAAUAAUAAUAAUAAUAAUAAUAAUAAGGAAUUGAAAAAUCAGCGGGAUAAAAAUCCCGUUCCCAGGCAGGGGCUGACGAAUUGCCGCAUUAAGGGUCGAGAGUCCCGUAUAUAUAUAUAUGUAUAUAUAUAUAUAUCUAUAUAUAUACACGUGUGUGGGACUCCGCGAUCGGCCAGUUUUUCGCGGUUCUUCCUUCACCGGAGGAGCGAUUGUUCGAGACUGUGAAAUUUUUCGCUGCUUUUUUCACCCUCCCCGAGAUCAGUAAUGUCGCGAUUAAUGCUGUGCAAUCUCGGCAAUGCCUCGACGGCGGGAAACGAUACGAACAACAACGCGAACACGAACAGCAGUAUGGAGGACGACGAUUCUUAUCCACUGCCUACAAUCUAUCGCUGCCGUGCACCCAUAGCAAGUCUGGAUUGCAUGGAAGAGUUCAACGGCGGCGGCGGCGGAGGCGGAGGAGGUGCAGACUCGGGCGUGCACUGCAGCAACACGGCCGGAACGAAAGAGCAGCUACUAACUAGCUGCAUUGCCGCACAAGCGCAACGUUUGCAGCACCCUUCGCCAGGUAUUCGCUACCGCAACUUGGGCAAAAGCGGUCUACGUGUUUCCAAUGUUGGAUUAGGAACGUGGACCACCUUCGGCGUAGGCGGCUGCGGCAGCGAGGAGACCGCGGAGGCCGUCGUCGCGCUCGCCUACGACAGCGGGAUCAACGUGUUCGACUUGAGCGAGGCUCACAGCGGCCACCGCGCGGAAAUCCAAUUCGGUCGCAUCCUGCUGAGGCGGGCCUGGAAUCGUUCCAGUUACGUCGUCACGACGAAAAUCUACUGGAACACCAAGACCGAGGGUCGCGGGCUAUCGCGGAAACACAUUAUCGAGUCCGUGCAAGCUUCGCUCGUCAGGCUGCAACUGUCGUACAUCGACAUUGUCAUGAUCCACAAAGUCGAUCCAAUGUGUCCGAUGGAAGAGAUCGUUCGCGCUAUGAAUUACGUUAUAAGCAAGGGUUGGGUAAUGUACUGGGGCACGUCGCGAUGGUCCCCCGUGGAGAUUAUGGAAGCCUACACGAACUGUCGACAGUUCAAUUGCGUGACGCCGAUCGUCGAGCAAGCGGAGUACCAUCUGUUUUACAGGGAGAAGCCCGAGCUCUACAUGCCGGAGUUGUAUAACAAAAUUGGCGUCGGUUUAAUGGCAUGGUCCACCGUCACCAUCGGAAUGGUCUCUUCAAAGCCGGAAGAUUGCGGAGUAUCGUUCCUCUCGAGAUCCUCUUAUAAAAACAAAUACUCUUCGUUCAGUUGGACGGAGGAUGAGACUCAAUCUUUAUACAAGGAGGAGUACGCGUGGAAAGACAAAUCCGCCGACGAUGAGACUCGGAAAUACUCGGAUAAAUUGCGGGAUGUUUGCGCCCUGGCCGAGAGACUGGGAUGUUCCUUUGGACAACUGGCCAUCGCGUGGUCCUUAAAGAAUGAAAGUGUUCAGUGCCUUCUGCUCGGUGCAUCCAAUAUAGAUCAAUUGUACGAGAGUCUCCAAAGCUUACAGCUUAUCCCAAAGUUGAACGCGAGCAUAAUGAGCGAGCUCGAGAGGAUUCUUGACAACAAACCGUCCCGACCGCCGAUGAUAUCCACCCUGGCGCUUAGAUGACAAUCGAUGUGCCCCCACGGAAGUGGUGGGGGCUCCCUGGAGGAAGCGGGUAGUCCGAAGAGCGAGGGCGGCAACAGUCAGGAUCAGGAGCAGACCAAGGAGACCGCAGUCACCGUGUAGAAAGCGAUGACGCAGACAAUGAUCGAGAGCACGCUGUAACUUAGAGCGUCCGAGAUGAUCUUGAUGUCCUUCUUGUGAAUGAGUAUCUUUAUCAUCCACGGUAAACCGAGACACAGCAGGAUGUCGAGUGUGUUCGCGCCCAACGUAUUACUCAUCGCCAUGUCUCCGUUACCUGUGGGAAGGAAAGGAUCGAUCCGAAUCACCAGACGAUGUUGUGCACAAUUUUGUGCAUUUCCUAACUCUCGGAUCUCGGCCCUUUGACGAGUAAGUUUUUCCUCAAUCGAUUCCAUCAUAAAUCAGCUCACCUUGUCUAGAGAGGAUUACGAUGGAGACCAGCUCCGGCAUGUUGCCUCCUGCGGCCUGUAACGUGAUGCCCAUCACGGAAUCCGGGAUCCCGAUGGUGUCGCCCAGAACAGUAGUCGUCCACGACGUCAGGUAGGAAGAUAUCGCGAUCCAUAUCACGCACAUGACGAACGUUAUCAGAUACCAAUCUCGCCAUCGUUUGUACCUGAUGUCUGGCACGGUGAGAAACAACAUCAGCUUCAACGGCCAGACGAACCAGAACCAAAUUUUCGCCAGGUUUCCUCCGGUCGGCCACACAAAGGGUGUAUCUAAAAGCAUAGAGCAUAACUCAUCAGCGAUUUGCUAAUACUAAAUAUCGUUUUAUAUCUUAUCGUAAUAUUUGAUUUUGAAGCCCAUUUUUCUCGUAAUUGUAAAUGAGUGAUUGAUUCGUAUAGAUACCUGGUUCUACAUAUUCUUCCGCUUGUUCCACGAUUUGAUUCGGCGUUUCCACGUCGGAGAUAGACUUGCGACCGCUGUUGCUCGUCAAGCUCUUUUUUCGAUAUUCCGCCACGAGUUCUCCGUGGAAAUAAGGCCUGUACGAACCGUCAGGCAUUGACUCUUCCUUGUCUUUAGGAACUGUUGGAUAAUAAAAUUCUUAUGUAGGUCUCUGUACUCACUUCUAGAAUUUUAGACAAACGUAUAACUGAAUAGAGUUAUUGUUACGCGUUAAAGAUUAGAGACUCGAGCAUACUUUAUCCUUCAAAAUAAUCAGCUUCAUCCAAAGUUUAUUCGUCGCGAUAUUUUAAAAAGAAUUAUGAAUCGUUCAUGUGUCGUAAAGACACACAAAUUAUAACAUAAAAUAUUCAAAGCUCGAAUCCACAGCAAGUACUUUUAUAGCAGACGAUCUGUGUUAGCUGUUGAGAAGCUUGAUCACAUCGUGGAAAGGCGUAUGGAAAUUGCACAAAACAGAUAUACUUCGAAGAGAAACUUACUUUCUUUUUCCGAAAAAUUCGUUCUGCGAUUCUUGUACAGACGCGCGAGUUUAUUAUGCCAACGUGCAAAGCAUCUGCUGCAAAACAAUAUCGUCAAAUAAAUGACGAACAGUACCAUGAGGAUGAUUGCUUCGUACAACUUGAUUACGCCGUCCCACAUCACGAUUACUAAGAUGGUGACCGAUAGCGUGUAAAGUAUACAAUCUCGAGUUAAUAUUCGCCAUUCUAAUGGUAUUGCCUGUUGGAAAAUUUAAGAAAAAAAUUGUUUUAAUUUACUUUGACAUAUAACGCGGCAGAAUGAUGGCUCACUCUAAUGUAAAAAGCUGUAGGAAAAAUAUAAUAAAAAGUUAUAGGAGAAAUA